rnacentral:rRNA from 1 species
AGAGUUUGAUUCUGGCUCAGAACGAACGCUGGCGGCGUGGAUAAGACAUGCAAGUCGAACGAGAGAAUUGCUAGCUUGCUAAUAAUUCUCUAGUGGCGCACGGGUGAGUAACACGUGAGUAACCUGCCCCCGAGAGCGGGAUAGCCCUGGGAAACUGGGAUUAAUACCGCAUAGUAUCGAAAGAUUAAAGCAGCAAUGCGCUUGGGGAUGGGCUCGCGGCCUAUUAGUUAGUUGGUGAGGUAACGGCUCACCAAGGCGAUGACGGGUAGCCGGUCUGAGAGGAUGUCCGGCCACACUGGAACUGAGACACGGUCCAGACACCUACGGGUGGCAGCAGUCGAGAAUCAUUCACAAUGGGGGAAACCCUGAUGGUGCGACGCCGCGUGGGGGAAUGAAGGUCUUCGGAUUGUAAACCCCUGUCAUGUGGGAGCAAAUUAAAAAGAUAGUACCACAAGAGGAAGAGACGGCUAACUCUGUGCCAGCAGCCGCGGUAAUACAGAGGUCUCAAGCGUUGUUCGGAAUCACUGGGCGUAAAGCGUGCGUAGGCUGUUUCGUAAGUCGUGUGUGAAAGGCGCGGGCUCAACCCGCGGACGGCACAUGAUACUGCGAGACUAGAGUAAUGGAGGGGGAACCGGAAUUCUCGGUGUAGCAGUGAAAUGCGUAGAUAUCGAGAGGAACACUCGUGGCGAAGGCGGGUUCCUGGACAUUAACUGACGCUGAGGCACGAAGGCCAGGGGAGCGAAAGGGAUUAGAUACCCCUGUAGUCCUGGCAGUAAACGGUGCACGCUUGGUGUGCGGGGAAUCGACCCCCUGCGUGCCGGAGCUAACGCGUUAAGCGUGCCGCCUGGGGAGUACGGUCGCAAGAUUAAAACUCAAAGAAAUUGACGGGGACCCGCACAAGCGGUGGAGUAUGUGGCUUAAUUCGAUGCAACGCGAAGAACCUUACCUGGGCUUGACAUGUAAUGAACAACAUGUGAAAGCAUGCGACUCUUCGGAGGCGUUACACAGGUGCUGCAUGGCCGUCGUCAGCUCGUGUCGUGAGAUGUUUGGUUAAGUCCAGCAACGAGCGCAACCCCUGUUGCCAGUUACCAGCACGUGAAGGUGGGGACUCUGGCGAGACUGCCCAGAUCAACUGGGAGGAAGGUGGGGACGACGUCAGGUCAGUAUGGCCCUUAUGCCCAGGGCUGCACACGUACUACAAUGCCCAGUACAGAGGGGGCCGAAGCCGCGAGGCGGAGGAAAUCCUAAAAACUGGGCCCAGUUCGGACUGCAGCUGUCUCUUAUACACAUCUGACGCUGCCGACGAAA